CCAGACGAGACCACAGGUUCCUGGUUGGUGCUUCUGACUCUUGACAGCAGCUGCAACCCAGAUGCCUGCAGUACUGAGAAACAACGAGAACGGCAGAGACAGAGCUGCAGAUGUAGGAUUUAGCCAAGCAGUUGCUGACUUUUUGGUAACCCCAUCAGACAAAACUCACUUCAGACGGGCCUGUGAUUUUAUUUUAUAUCCAAUUUAACACAGUCUGACCAUUAGACAACCCAGGUUUGGUUCCCAGCACUAAUAUGGCAGUUCACAACCAUCUAUGACUGCAGUCCCAGGGGAGCUGAGGCCCUCUCCUGAUCUCCCCAGUGCCAAAAAUAUUCUUAAGAACAUUGAAGAUGGAGCUGACAACAUGGCUCAGUGGGUAAAGAUAUUUGCUGCUAAGCCUGAUGACCUGUGUUCAAUUCCCAGGACUCACAAGUUAGAAGGAACGACUAACUCCCAUGGGUUGUCCUCUGACCUCCAUGGAUAUGCUGAGGCACACAUGUAACUCCCCACCCACAUCAAAUUAAUAAAUGGGUUUUUUUUUAAUGAA